UACGUAGGGGGCAAGCGUUGUCCGGAAUCAUUGGGCGUAAAGCGCGUGUAGGCGGCCCGAUAAGUCCGCUGUGAAAGUCCAGGGCUCAACCCUGGGAUGCCGGUGGAUACUGUCGGGCUCGAGUCCGGAAGAGGCGAGUGGAAUUCCUGGUGUAGCGGUGAAAUGCGCAGAUAUCAGGAGGAACACCAAUUGCGAAGGCAGCUCGCUGGGACGUUACUGACGCUGAGACGCGAAAGCGUGGGGAGCAAACAGG
rnacentral:rRNA from 1 species